UACGUAGGGUGCGAGCGUUAAUCGGAAUUAUUGGGCGUAAAGCGCGCGCAGGCGGCUUACUAAGUCUGGUGUGAAAGCCCACGGCUCAACCGUGGAGGGCCAUUGGAAACUGGUAAGCUUGAGUGCAGGAGAGGAGAGCGGAAUUCCUGGUGUAGCGGUGAAAUGCGUAGAUAUCAGGAGGAACACCCGUGGCGAAGGCGGCUCUCUGGCCUGUAACUGACGCUGAGGCGCGAAAGCGUGGGGAGCAAACAGG
rnacentral:rRNA from 1 species